UACGUAGGGGGGCAAGCGUUGUCCGGAUUCAUUGGGCGUAAAGAGCGUGUAGGCGGCCAGGUAGGUCGGUUGUGAAAACUGGAGGCUCAACCUUCAGAGGUCGACCGAAACCAUCUGGCUAGAGUCCGGGAGAGGAGAGUGGAAUUCCUGGUGUAGCGGUGAAAUGCGCAGAUAUCAGGAAGAACACCCGUGGCGAAAGCGGCUCUCUGGAACGGUACUGACGCUGAGACGCGAAAAGCGUGGGGAGCGAACAGG
rnacentral:rRNA from 1 species